UAAGAUGACUGCCGGUGACAAACCGGAGGAAGGUGGGGAUGACGUCAAAUCAUCAUGCCCCUUAUGAUUUGGGCUACACACGUGCUACAAUGGACAAUACAAAGGGCAGCGAAACCGCGAGGUCAAGCAAAUCCCAUAAAGUUGUUCUCAGUUCGGAUUGUAGUCUGCAACUCGACUACAUGAAGCUGGAAUCGCUAGUAAUCGUAGAUCAGCAUGCUACGGUGAAUACGUUCCCGGGUCUUGUACACACCGCCCGUCACACCACGAGAGUUUGUAACACCCGAAGCCGGUGGAGUAACCUUUUAGGAGCUAGCCGU
rnacentral:rRNA from 1 species